rnacentral:tRNA from 2 species
GGAGGGAUGGCAGAGUGGACGAUUGCGUUGGUCUUGAAAACCAAUAUAGGGGCAACUCUAUCAAGGGUUCGAAUCCCUUUCCCUCCGCCA